rnacentral:rRNA from 1 species
UACGUAGGUGGCAAGCGUUGUCCGGAUUUAUUGGGUUUAAAGGGUGCGUAGGCGGCCCUGUAAGUCAGUGCUGAAAUAUCCCAGCUUAACUGGGAGGGUGGCAUUGAUACUGCGGGGCUAGAGUACAGAUGAGGUAGGCGGAAUUGACGGUGUAGCGGUGAAAUGCUUAGAUAUUAGGAAGAACACCAGUGGCGAAGGCGACUUUCUGGACUGUAACUGACACUGAGGCUCGAAAGCGUGGGGAGCAAACAGG